GCCAGUGUGAUGUAGUGGCUUGAAUGUUGAACUUGCACUCUAGAGAUCAGGGUUCAAAUCCCCACUCAGCCA